GAUGAAGAACGCAGCGAAAUGCGAUACGUAAUGUGAAUUGCAAAUUCAGUGAAUCAUCGAGUCUUUGAACGCACAUUGCGCCCCCUGGUAUUCCGGGGGGCAUGCCUGUCCGAGCGUCAUUGCUGCCCUCAAGCACGGCUUGUGUGUUGGGCCCCGUCCUCCGAUCCCGGGGGACGGGCCCGAAAGGCAGCGGCGGCACCGCGUCCGGUCCUCGAGCGUAUGGGGCUUUGUCACCCGCUCUGUAGGCCCGGCCGGCGCUUGCCGAUCAACCCAAAUUUUUAUCCAGGUUGACCUCGGAUCAGGUAGGGAUACCCGCUUAACUUAAGCAUAUCAAUAAGCGGAGGA
rnacentral:misc_RNA from 1 species